AGCGAGGUAGGGCAGAUGCUUGGGGAAUUCCUGGCAGUCCAAUCAGGAGUGCCCGGAGGGCUCAUAACCCUCAGGUCGAUGGUUCAAAUCCAUCCCUCGCUA
rnacentral:tRNA from 1 species